CCGUCGUCCUCGUCCUAUCUGGCAUCAGGUUUGGGGGUGAACUGGGAGGAAGAGCGUCGAGUCCACUAAUGGCUGGAAUUGUUAGCCUCUGACUUAUUCCCCAGCCCUGCCACUUGACCAGGAAGUUCAUGGACGAGGAAUGCAUCUCUUCAGGAAGUCAUCCCUCCAACAGUCACGGAGCUGAUGACACAGUGUUUGGCAUAUAGGAAAACUCAACCUUGACCGACAAAAACGGAGUGACUUCUCUUCUAAUCAGACUAAUGCAGCAUUGCUGUCAGGUCUUUGAAGACUCGAAUUAGCCACUCUACUCUGAAUACAGUGUCCACGAUGAUGUCUUUACGGGAUUCAUCAACACAAAGAAGAGAGGAGAGCUGGAGGUGGAAGAUAAGGCUCUAAGAAUGGACUUCUGGACAAAUAUUCACACCUUCUCAGACCUCAGCCCAUUCAGAAAGCUGCAAAAGAAAGAAGAAACUGAAUAGAAAAUGAAGCUGUGUCCACUAGCACCAUGAAGA